CUUCUGUCUAGCAGAAUAUGAAGAAAUCCCGUUUCCAACGAAGGCCUCAAGGAGGUCUGAAUAUCCACUUGCAGACUUUACAAACAGAGUGUUUCCUAACUGCUCUAUGAAAAGAAAGGUUAAACUCUGUGAGUUGAACAAACACAUCACAACGCAGUUUGUGGGAAUGAUUCUGUCUAGUUUUGAAACGAAGAUAUUUCCUUUUCUGCCAUUGACCUUAAAGCGCUUGAAAUCUACACUUGCAAAUUGCACAAAUAGAGUGUUUCAAAUCUGCUCUGUCUAAGGGAACGUUCAACUCUGUGAGUUGAAUGCACACAACACAAGGAAGUUACUGGGAAUUCUUCUGUCUAGCCUUACAUGAGAAAAAACCGUUUCCAAAGAAGGCCUCUAAGUGGUCAAAAUAUCUACGUGCAGACUUUACAAACAGAGUGUUUCCAAACUGCUGAAUGAAAAGAAAAGUUAAACUCUGAGAGUUGAACGCACACAUCACAGAGCAGUUACUGAGAAUGAUUCUGUCUAGUUUUUAUACGAAGAUAUUUCCUUUUCUGCCUUUGGCCCCAAAGCGCUUGAAAUCUCCACUUGCAAAUACCACAAAAACAGUGUUUCAAAUCUGCUCUCUCUAAAUGAAAGUUCAACUCUGUCAGUUGAAUACACACAACACAAGGAA
rnacentral:lncRNA from 10 species